CCCAUUUAUCAGUUAAUUAACUUAACCCAUUAUCCCAAAUUUUAGUAACUGCAACUCUCUAUUUCUCUCUUUCAAAAGCAACGCAUUCCCUUCCACCAUCCCAUAAUUUUAGUAACUGCAAUUCUCUCUCUCUCUCCGAAACGCAACACAGCUGCUCCUCAUCGCUUUUUAGCAAGCGACAACCUUUGCCAAUUUCUGCCACUCUUCUCGCCUCUGUUACCUUUCAUCCACAUCAGUACAUCAGGAAAGUCGUCGCAGUUAACUCUGCUUUUUCAUCAAUUUUCAUCAGCCACAUCAUCGAGUCGCGACGUCACCGGUGACCACCGUAGCAGUCCAACGCCUUGCAGCACUAUUUGACCGCCUAUGUCCGGCAGAAAAAGCCACCACUUCCUCCCCAGUCAAUCAAUACAGAAACUACCAUCUCCAUCUCUUAUAAAAGCAUCUCUUAUUUAUUUUAUAUUUUCUAUUUUCUAUUUCAGUCUUUUUAUAUUCUUAAUUAAUUUCUUAAUUUUUCUGAAUAAAGGAUUUGAUGUGUGUUUAUAGGUGAAGUUUGGAGGUUAUACAGAAGCUUCUGAAUUUUGGCCACUAAUAUUGAAUCUCCGGACAUCAAGGUGAAAAAGGCGAUGCUUAUUACAAAUUGCUUGUGGAAAAAGGAAAAACAGACUGUUGAUUUGAAAGAUGAAUUUGCUGAAACAGUAGUUUUCAAAACUGGAAGGCUACCUGUCUCAACUCCCUCCUGACAUCCAAACCAGAAGGCAACCUGCACUGCUACACAGGGCAUGGAAGGCGAGGAGAAGUGUUUCUUGCGUUUCAGGCCCGAGAGAGAAUAGCUUGAAAAUCUCUAAUUUAGUUUCCAGAAGUCGAAUCUGAUCCGUGGAUGCUGUGGACAUUGCUGAUUGUCUGUUUCCACGUGGCAAAAGAGAAGUACAAACAGAUCAGUUGCAGGCCAUUGAUAGGUUCUCUAGAGCUCUAACAGCUGCUGAUUUAACCUCUAUAUCAUUAAGCUCAAGCAUCUGAAGAAAGAUAUUGCUUGUCGUGAUCAGUCAGUUCAAGAUCGGCUAAUGUAUCUGCCAUAAUUACUUCCUGCAUGUGCAUCAAGAUUUGUUAUAAAUGUACUGAUUAUCUCUCACUUUUUAUUUUGAAGAUUUACCUUCAAAAAGAAUGCUAAGGAAUUUCACCCUUGCCCAUCCGCACGAUGUUUUGAUCAAGAAAAGCAAGACUGUCCAGAAGCUCUUGGCAUAUUUUGAAGCUUGAGCAUCAUCAUUGAUUGCUAAGCUUUAUGUGUCAAUUUUGUGUCUACCACUGCUUGUGAUAAUUUAAUUUUUGUUGUGCUUUCAACAUCAAUUUGUUCCUCGGUAGAUAGUGUAUUUAGUUUUUAAUAUAUUUAUGGCUUCUUUCA